rnacentral:rRNA from 1 species
ACGAACGCUGGCGGCAUGCUUAACACAUGCAAGUCGAACGAGAAAGCUUCUUCGGAAGUGAUUAAAGUGGCGCACGGGUGAGUAACGCGUAGACAAUCUGCCCUUCAGUCCGGGAUAACAUGGUGAAAACUAUGCUAAUACCGGAUAAGACCACAUUUCAUAAGAAAUGCGGUAAAAGGAGUCUCAAUCUUCACUUGAGGAUGAGUUCGCGCAACAUUAGCUUGUUGGUGAGAUAAAAGCUCACCAAGGCUACGAUGUUUAGCCGGCCUGAGAGGGUGAACGGCCACACUGGAACUGAGACACGGUCCAGACUCCUACGGGAGGCAGCAGUGGGGAAUAUUGCGCAAUGGGCGAAAGCCUGACGCAGCAACGCCGUGUGAGCGAUG